CUGAUGGAGUGCUGUGGUCCCUCCGUGAGUGGGGGGGGAAGCGAGGGGAGUGAGUGAGCAGCUACGUGGUUCUGAGUUACUGGCUGGGCUUAAACCACGACACCCAGCAUGAGCUGAGGAUAAAAACCAUGUAAUGGAAGAUGCCACCUUUUAGCCUCUGCACCCCUAACCCUUAAAUAGUGGCCAAAAAUGUGGAGUAAUUCACAUUAGAAGCUAUAAAUACAUAGAAUUCUGUUAUUCAGUCAUGUUAAAAAAAGUUGAAAAGCCUGCGAACUGGAACAUGGUUGCUAAUGUAUAAGAAUACAUUUCUAAAGAGCAUACUCUUAUUUUAGUAAAAUCCUCAGUUAUUUGAAGAGCAGCAUAUGUUAACUCAACUAAAACCAACCCACUGUUACAAUACUGUGUGUGUACAGUACAAGUACGCAUAUCUCCCCCACCCUGAUCACCUGUUGAUGAACU